rnacentral:rRNA from 1 species
AUGGGCAACCUGGUGUCGGCGAGCGCGGGCGGCGGCAAGAUCGUGCUGCCCGACGGGAGCGUCCGGGCUUUGGGCGGCGAGACCGUGUCCGUGGCCGAGCUCAUGGUGGAGCACCCGCGCCACUUCGUGGUGGACGCGCGCCUCGCGGCGUCCGGCGGAGGGGCCAAGGUCGCCGCGCUGCCGGCCGACCACCUGCUGGACGGUGCCGGGGUGUACGUCGUGCUCCCGGCCACCCGGGGCAGGGUCUCCGCCGACGAGGCCCGGCGAGCGCUCACGACGUCGCGGCUGCUUGCGCGGUGCCGGUCGAUGCCGGCCAGCGCACAGGAGCAGCGGGGCGAGGCGGCGCCGUUGCUGGGCGGGCUCGGUGACCAGCAGCCGGAGUUCCUGAGCCAGGAGCUGACGCGCAGCGGGCCAUGGAAGCCCAGCUUGAAGACGAUCGAAGAGCGCGUGCUGCCGAGGAAGGUGCCUCACUGGCUCUUCUGA